UUUAAAGUCGGGCCUGCCCAAUGAUUUUUAAAUGGCUGCAGUAUAUUGACUGUACAAAGGUAGCAUAAUCAUUAGUUUUUUAAUUGAAAACUUGUAUGAAGGGUUUGAUGAGAAAAUAGCUGUCUCAUUUUUAAUUAAUUAGAAUUUAAUUUUUAAUUUAAAAAGAUUAAAUGUUUUAAAAAGACGAGAAGACCCUAUAGAGUUUUAUUAUUAUUUUAAUAAAAAAUUGUAGAUUUAUUUAUUUUAUUUAAAUAUUUAAUUUUAUUGGGGUGAUAGAAAAAUUUAGUAAACUUUUUAUUAUUAUAACAUUAAUUUAUGAUUAUGUUGAUCAAAGUUUAAGAUUAAAAGAAAAAAUUACCUUAGGGAUAACAGCGUAAUUUAUUUUUAAAGUUCUAAUUGAAAAAUAAGAUUGCGACCUCGAUGUUGGAUUAAAAAUAAUUUUUGGUGCAGAAGCUAAAAAAUUAAGUCUGUUCGACUUUUAAAAUUUUACA
rnacentral:rRNA from 1 species